CUGUGACGAUGAAGGACAGAGCUCAGAUGUCACUGGUGCUUGGUGAAUCUGGUGGAGCCCACUGGCUGUAAGAACAAGACUUGGCACCCUCAGAGCCGGGCUGAAGGCACCCUGUCCACUGGGCAAACUGUCAUGGAGGGGAGACUGGGAGCUGUGCUGGGGCUUCUGUGGGUCCAGAUUUGCUGGGUGAGAGGGUUCCAGGUGGAGCAGAGUCCUCCAGCCCUGAGUCUCCAAGAGGGAACCGACUCUACUCUGCGGUGUAAUUUUUCUGCUACUGCAAACAAAGUGCAGUGGUUCCGACAGAAUCCUGGGGGCAGCCUCAUCAAUCUGUUUUUCGUGACUUUAGGGACGAAGAGGAGUGGAAGGUUAGAGGCAACAUUUAAUUCUAAGGACCUCUAUAGCACCCUUCACAUCACAGCCUCCCAGCUGGAAGACUCAGGCACCUACCUGUGUUUAGCAGAGGCACAGUGCCCCCAGGUUUAG